UACGUAGGGCGCAAGCGUUGUCCGGAAUUAUUGGGCGUAAAGAGCUCGUAGGCGGUUUGUCGCGUCUGCUGUGAAAUCCCGAGGCUCAACCUCGGGCUUGCAGUGGGUACGGGCAGACUAGAGUGCGGUAGGGGAGACUGGAAUUCCUGGUGUAGCGGUGGAAUGCGCAGAUAUCAGGAGGGAAACACCCGGUGGGCGAAGGCGGGUCUC
rnacentral:rRNA from 1 species